AACGAACGCUGGCGGCAUGCCUAACACAUGCAAGUCGAACGAGACCUUCGGGUCUAUUGGCGCACGGGUGCGUAACGCGUGGGAAUCGGCCCUUGGGUUCGGAAUAACUGUUGGAAACGACUGCUAAUACCGGAUGAUGACGUAAGUCCAAAGAUUUAUCGCCCAAGGAUGAACCCGCGUAGGAUUAGCUAGUUGGAGAGGUAAAGGCUCACCAAGGCGACGAUCCUUAACUGGUCUGAGGGGAUGAUCAGCAACACUGGGACAGACAGCCGGCCGGGACCUUCCGGGAAGGGGGAAAGGGUGAAUGUGGAACAGCGGGCGAGAGAUGAAGCCCUCAGGGCCGGGAGAAGGUGUAAGGAGUUAGGAACAAAAGUGUAUUUUACCAGGGACGUCAUGACGGUACCGGGGCAAAAAGCCCCGGCUAACUACGGG
rnacentral:rRNA from 1 species